rnacentral:lncRNA from 1 species
AGCAAGUGUUGGGGUAGAAGAUGAAGUGAGUUAUCAAGAAGAUCUAGUAGCCAAGGUAUCAAGUUGCCCCAUAACUUUUUCAGUUAUGAUAUGAUCUAUGGACCCUAUGGCUGGCAGCAGAUGAAAGUGUGAAGUCCAGAGUUUCAAAUCAUGUCAGAUGAAGAAUCAACAGUGCAAGCUUUUGUAGAAUGGGUGAUAACUUU